UAAUUAACUUGGGGACUUGUGUUAUUUAA
rnacentral:piRNA from 2 species